CCACUCAUCGAUAUUGGUGUAGGCGACAUGCGUCGCGCACUCGAGGGCCAACAGUGUCCUGGACGGGGGUUCGAUUCCCCCCACCUCCACCCGAUGGCAUCGCGAUGCCUUGGCUGGCCUGACGGGCCGGUGCCAUUCGGUGGGGGUGACCUGGUUUCGACAGGGUAGCCAGUAACCCGAGAUACAUCACGUCAGGCGACCGACGUUAAUUGCGCACAACCACAAUUGCAAAUGACUCGCAAUUCCUUGCCUACGGUACUUACUCCUAAGACCCGUUAGCCGAGUUUCCGGCCCCUUCGAAAGAAGGCUUGUGAACAGAAAGGCCGGACCUACUCUGUCG
rnacentral:tmRNA from 1 species